AUUCUAACAAAACCUUGGGAUGGGGGAAUAAAAUUCUUUAUGUAUAGCAAUUAAUGAUUUUAGUUCCCAUAGACAAGUUUUUUGGGGAAACAAUUUGAAGUUUGGUGACAUACUCAAAGACGCAUUAUGUUUAUAAUUUUUCAAACUGAACUACUUCAACUAUUCUGACAAUCUUGGCAAAGAAAUUGCUUAUGUUUCCAACUAUUUUUUCAGUACUUUGAAUUUUUCUGUUAAUGUUUUUCGAAUCUGAAAUAUCGCUGAACAGAUCUUGGCAUAAUGAAUCCACAUUUACAGGAAUAAAUAGUUACAGCUUAGGUUAUUGUUCACUUUGUCCCACAUAUCUGAUCAAUUAUCUGCCUUCACUCAAGGACUCUAUAUAUAGUAAAUUAGGUUAAGAAUUACGAUUGUGUUUCAACCAUUUUGGAGGCAAAUUUAAA
rnacentral:misc_RNA from 1 species